GUUCAUUAGACCGGAUUGGAGGCUUAGGUGCCCUCUUCAAACCAGUUAGGAGCUGUCUAGUGAUUUUAGGGCAAAUACAAGGAUUUGACGUAUUUUUCUUUUAGUGCAUGCUUGACUUGACUGAUCAGAAGAGUAUAACUCCUUGCUCGACAAUCAGUCUUCCACAAAUUUUCUUCCUUGGAGAACUCGGCAUGAAUCCGGUAUAAUUUGAUAAGGAUGCGCUCCGUCUGGCUGAAGACGUUAAACUUAGCACUUGUUGGGAGGCAACCCAAUUCUCAUAGAUUAUUUUUGCAUAUUUUCUUGUC
rnacentral:lncRNA from 1 species